CAGCCGCCACGGUAAAACGUAGGGUCCGAGCGUUGUCCGGAAUUAUUGGGCGUAAAGGGCUCGUAGGCGGUUUGUUGCGUCGGGAGUGAAAACACCAAGCUUAACUUGGUGCUUGCUUUCGAUACGGGCAGACUUGAGGCAUGCAGGGGAGAACGGAAUUCCUGGUGUAGCGGUGAAAUGCGUAGAUAUCGGAAGGAACACCUGUGGCGAAAGCGGCUCACUGGACAAUUACUGACGCUGAUGCACGAAAGCUAGGGGAGCAAACAGGAUUAGAUACCCCCGUAGUCCCUGUCUCUUAUAC
rnacentral:rRNA from 1 species